GGACCCGCACAAGCGGUGGAUGAUGUGGAUUAAUUCGAUGCAACGCGAAAAACCUUACCUACCCUUGACAUGUGAGGAACUUGUGAGAGAUCACUUGGUGCCCGAAAGGGAACCUCAACACAGGUGCUGCAUGGCUGUCGUCAGCUCGUGUCGUGAGAUGUUGGGUUAAGUCCCGCAACGAGCGCAACCCUUGUCAUUAGUUGCUACAUUUAGUUGAGCACUCUAAUGAGACUGCCGGUGACAAACCGGAGGAAGGUGGGGAUGACGUCAAGUCCUCAUGGCCCUUAUGGGUAGGGCUUCACACGUCAUACAAUGGCACGUACAGAGGGUUGCCAACCCGCGAGGGGGAGCCAAUCCCAGAAAGCGUGUCGUAGUCCGGAUUGUUCUCUGCAACUCGAGAACAUGAAGUCGGAAUC
rnacentral:rRNA from 1 species